rnacentral:rRNA from 1 species
AUUGAACGCUGGCGGCAGGCCUAACACAUGCAAGUCGAGCGGAUGAAGGGAGCUUGCUCCUGGAUUCAGCGGCGGACGGGUGAGUAAUGCCUAGGAAUCUGCCUGGUAGUGGGGGAUAACGUCCGGAAACGGGCGCUAAUACCGCAUACGUCCUGAGGGAGAAAGUGGGGGAUCCUCGGACCUCACGCUCUCAGAUGAGCCUAGGUCGGAUUAGCUAGUUGGUGGGGUAAAGGCCUACCAAGGCGACGAUCCGUAACUGGUCUGAGAGGAUGAUCAGUCACACUGGAACUGAGACACGGUCCAGACUCCUACGGGAGGCAGCAGUGGGGAAUAUUGGACAAUGGGCGAAAGCCUGAUCCAGCCAUGCCGCGUGUGUGAAGAAGGUCUUCGGAUUGUAAAGCACUUUAAGUUGGGAGGAAGGGCAGUAAGUUAAUACCUUGCUGUUUUGACGUUACCAACAGAAUAAGCACCGGCUAACUUCGUG